rnacentral:lncRNA from 1 species
GAAUGAACGUCAAUAUUUUUUCCAAAUGAAAACACUUAAAUAAAAGAUGCCUAUACAGAGACAUUUAUUUGUACCAUUUGCGUGUGUUAUUUGGGAGUGCAGUGAGCAGUUUUGACUUGGGGAUUAAACUGGAAUUCUGGAUGCAUUCCUUAGCUUUUUUUUUUUUUUUUCCAGUGUGAAUGUAACUUCCUGUAUCGAGAUUUCAAUGUCUUUAGACCUUUUAAAAUAUAAUCUGACUGCAGUCUUUGGCGAAUUAAUUCACUUAAACCAGAGCGCCUGCCCUGAGCACGAAGGUUUCGUGUUGGAAGUCAGGGAGGGAUGUGGUUAAUUUGCCAAGAAGCAGAGAUUCUUCCUGACUUCUUAGCGCGAUCUUCUCAACUCUGUUGUCAACCGCAAAUCGAGGGACCUUGGCCUCCUCGGGCGCAGAACUGUUUUUCCAAAUCUCCCUGGGGGUCAGGUUGGCGCGGAUAACUUCAAACCGUUUGAGAACGAAAAAACCCCUUUCUCACUUGGAAAGAAACGUUUGCCGAGGUCUUGACGCUUAAGUAACGCCUUAUCUCGCCCUCGCUGUGUCCAGCCUGGAGUUCCCGGUCUUUGGUCGCCACCGAGAGCGACUCCCAAGGUGCUGAGGGACCUUCGCUCCGUCGGCGGGCGGGCGGCUGUAGCCCCGGGCCUAGCUGCCCACUUGCCCUUGGUUCUCUAAAGCUCGAGAGCACCUAACGAAUUACCGUUGCCCUGGGAUAGUCCCAACUUGCCUGACCCUGCGGGGAUGUCGGGGGUAGGAGAGCGUGGACUGCUGGCCUUGCUCGGAACCAGCCGGGGACCCGCCCUGAAAAGGACCGAGGCUCCAGCGGCCGCGGCGCACCAGGGCGCACAGCUAGCGGGACAGAAAGCGUGACGCGCCGGGGGAGCCAGGUCCAGGGCCACAACUUGAGGCCUCCGGACUUGGCAGCCUCACCCUGCGGAGACGCAGGUGAGUCAGGUUGGAGGUCAAGAGCCCGACGGCCUCGAGGCUGCGGGAACCUUCAAUUUGCCAGGCCUCGCUCCGCCAGGUAGUCAAGGGCGCCGCGUCUCCAAGUCCGUGCACUUUGUCCGCGCUGGUUGGGACCAGGAGUCCCAAGCGUCUCUCCGGCCGCGUCUCUCUCCGGCUGGCGACCGGAGAGGACCCGGGGCGCUAGCGAGGAGCCCCGGGGAGACGCCGACUGGGCCUCUGUCUCUGAACCUGCCCGUAGGUUUCGAACUCCGCUCAACCUCUCCGCACUCCCGCCAACCCGAGAGAAGGAACUCCUUACCUCUUGAGGCUCGCAGG